AGGACGAACGCUGGCGGCGUGCCUAACACAUGCAAGUCGAGCGGGAAUUUACAAAUUGAUCCUUCGGGAUGAUUUUUGUAAAGGAUAGCGGCGGACGGGUGAGUAACGCGUGAGUAACCUGCCCUUAAGAGGGGGGAUAACACACCGAAAAGGUGUGCUAAUACCGCAUAACAUGGCGAGACCGCAUGACCUUGCCAUCAAAAAUUUAUUGGUAUAAGAUGGACCCGCGUCUGAUUAGCUAGUUGGUGGGGUAACGGCCUACCAAGGCGACGAUCAGUAGCCGACCUGAGAGGGUGACCGGCCACAUUGGGACUGAGACACGGACCAGACUCCUACGGGAGGCAGCAGUGAGGAAUAUUGGUCAAUGGGCGAGAGCCUGAACCAGCCAAGUCGCGUGAGGGACGACGGUACUAAGUAUUGUAAACCUCUUUUGUCAGGGAACAAAGAGACCACGUGUGGUAAGAUGAGUGUACCUGAAGAAAAAGCAUCGGCUAACUCCGUG
rnacentral:rRNA from 1 species